rnacentral:rRNA from 1 species
CCCUUAGAUGUUCUGGGCCGCACACGCGCUACACUGAAGGAGGCAGCGUGUACUCCUGGAUCGAAAGAUUUGGGUAACCCGCGAAUCUCCUUCGUGCUAGGGAUUGAGGUUUGCAAUUAUCCUUCAUGAACGAGGAAUUCCCAGUAAGCGCAAGUCAUCAGCUUGCGUUGAUUACGUCCCUGCCCUUUGUACACACCGCCCGUCGCUCCUACCGAUUGAAUGGUCCGGUGAAGCGUUCGGACCGUGGCCUUUGGACGGUUCGCCGUCUGUUGGCUGCGGGAAGUUCGUUAAACCUUAUCAUUUAGAGGAAGGAGAAGUCGUAACA